AUUAAAUACCAAACCUGAAGAUAUGAAUCCCAUACGGCCUUUUCAGCUGUAAUGCAUUUUUUUAUUGGACCAAAACCAAAACCACUUGUGUUGGAGCCAUGUAGCAUAUCGUAAACAAUAUGAAGAUCCUUCUUUAAGGUCUUAAUUCUUGAUUCGAUAUGUGGUUUUGCCUUUAAACCCGAAUUAGGCAAAAAAGCUUGCAUUUUCUCCUCCACAUAAUUUAGAUAGCCCGGCUUGAACCCAUUUUCAGCUUUAUAUAAUCCUAGAUUUACCAUAUCAAGAAGUACUUGAACAAGUUUGGCAUCUUCUUCAUACUUCCAUUUUCUUUUAUUUUUACCACGACCUCUUGUAUCUUGGGUUUGAG
rnacentral:lncRNA from 1 species